rnacentral:rRNA from 1 species
UACAGAGGUCUCAAGCGUUGUUCGGAUUCAUUGGGCGUAAAGGGUGCGUAGGCUGGCGCGGUAAGUCGGGUGUCGAAAUCUCGGAGCUUAACUCCGAAACUGCAUUCGGAUACUGCCGUGCUUGAGGACUGGAGAGGAGACUGGAAAUUUACGGUGUAGCGGUGAAUGCGUAGAGUAUCGUAAGGAAGACCAGUGGCGAAGGCGGCUCACUGGGCCCGGUAACUGGACGCCUGGAGGUGACGAAAGCGUGGGAGCAAACAGG